rnacentral:rRNA from 1 species
UAGUCCACGCUGUAAACGAUGAUCACUCGAUAUUGGCGAUAUACUGUCAGUGUCCAAGCGAAAGUGUUAAGUGAUCCACCUGGGGAGUACGUUCGCAAGAAUGAAACUCAAAGGAAUUGACGGGGGCCCGCACAAGCGGUGGAGCAUGUGGUUUAAUUCGAUGAUACGCGAGGAACCUUACCAGGGCUUAAAUGCAGAACGACAGAUUGGGAAACCAGUCCUUCUUCGGACGGUCUGCAAGGUGCUGCAUGGUUGUCGUCAGCUCGUGCCGUGAGGUGUCGGGUUAAGUCCCAUAACGAGCGCAACCCCUAUCCUUAGUUGCCAGCGAGUAAUGUCGGAGACUCUAAGGAAACUGCCCGCGCAAGCGGUGAGGAAGGUGGGGAUGACGUCAAAUCAUCACGGCCCUUACGUCCUGGGCCACACACGUGCUACAAUGGCGCAUACAAAGGGCAGCUACCUGGUGACAGGAUGCUAAUCUCUAAAGUGCGUCUCAGUUC